GAUGAAGAACGCAGCGAAAUGCGAUAAGUAAUGUGAAUUGCAGAAUUCAGUGAAUCAUCGAAUCUUUGAACGCAUCUUGCGCUCCUUGGUAUUCUGAGGAGCAUGCCUGUUUGAGUGUCAUUAAAUUCUCAACUACACUGACUUUGAAUUGGUGUGGCUUGGAUUUGGGGGGAAAAUUGUUGUGGGCUUUUUGUAUAGUCUGCUCCCCUGAAAUUGAUUAGCGGUACCUUUGUGGAACUGUCUACAGGUGUGAUAAUUAUCUACAUCUGCUGGAAUGCUACUUUCUAAACCUUACUUGUAUUGACAAUCUUGACCUCAAAUCAGGUAGGACUACCCGCUGAACUUAAGCAUAUCAAUAAGCGGAGGA
rnacentral:misc_RNA from 1 species